rnacentral:rRNA from 1 species
UACGUAGGGGGCUAGCGUUGUCCGGAAUCAUUGGGCGUAAAGAGCGUGUAGGCGGCCAGAUAAGUCCGCUGUGAAAUCUCGAGGCUCAACUUCGAGCUGUCGGUGGAAACUGUCUGGCUAGAGUCCGGUAGAGGAGAAUGGAAUUCCUGGUGUAGCGGUGAAAUGCGCAGAUAUCAGGAAGAACACCCGUGGCGAAGGCGGUUCUCUGGGACGGUACUGACGCUGAGACGCGAAAGCGUGGGGAGCGAACAGG